GGAGAUCUGCAAGUGCUCAGGCCUCAUUGUAUUGUCUACAGUUCCUCUAGACAAAGAUUGGCCACCUAAUGGAGGCGGUGGGUCUUUCCCAGGGGGAAGCAGCAAUCUCAUGGCCUCAGUUCUUAUAGUUUCUUUCUCUAGACCCUGGAAGACAUCAUUCAGCUGAAUAUUGAUUGACAGCAUGAUCUUCUGCAUCAUCAAUACCCAGCUAUCCUCGUCCCCUCUUGAUUUUGGUAGCAAAGCCAAACAAUAACCAAGCUUCUUCAACAUACUAGGAUUGCACUUGCCUGACAAGAGCCUCGAGACAAUAGCUUCCUCAACACCAUCAUAAUGCCGUUGAAUGGA
rnacentral:misc_RNA from 1 species